GUUUCAACUGCUGAGGUUUUCUUCAAGCUUUUGCAUUGUUUGGAAUGUGAAAGGCACGGCUGAGACACACUUUGGCAUUCCCACUGCAUUGUUACACCUCCCCCAUCACUUCAGGUCCAGGAUUCCUAUCGUCUGUCUCCACGUGAUACACUGAAGAGCCUUCACGUUGAUGCAGGUCCAGGGCCUCAAGUGCAGAGACUGAGAGCUCUGCAGGACACAGCAUGGAGCUGCCAUUCCUCUACUGGGUGGAGGAGCAUGUGUCCUCUGAACAGGGGAUCCAAGCCCUGAGAUGUUCUUUCUCAGCUGUCAGUGCGGCCCAGGACUUUCUGUGGGGAUGCUCACAGAGCAGGGGCCGGAGGACUUUUAGCCACCACCUCCCAUGGCCAGUCUUCACAAAUUACCUUUUGCUAAUUUGAUUGUCUCUCCUCCUGGGGUCUAGGACUUCAAACAUGUACAGAAGCAAUUGCAGAAUUAAGACAAGA
rnacentral:lncRNA from 1 species